rnacentral:lncRNA from 1 species
AUUAAUGAAUGAGUAGUUUUGUGAAUUAAUGAAUAAAGGAAACCUUAGUGCUACCAAAACUGUAUAUUCAGAUAUUGUGAUGAUAUCAUAUAUGAUAUGAUGAGUGUUAUUAAUUAUAUGAAACAAUCUUUAAUAAUAUUAUGUCAGUUUAUAGAUAUAUUGUGAUGGUACCAUGGAGGUAUCAUUGAAGGGUUGGAGC